GUUGCCCAAGGUGGGGUCUGGGCAGAACACCAGAAAGUCGUUAGAGUCUGCACUGCAGUCAGAACGGUGCCGGUCCGCGAGCCUCCCCCAUCCUGGAAGUCCUCCAGAUCCAUCGCACAGAACGGGUCUGUGGCCAGAUCUGUUUUGGAGGCGAAUGGACUCGCAGAACAGUUCAGACCCAUGCCUGCAGCAUCUUAAUGUGGAGCAUGCCUUUCUGUUGUUUUGGUUUUGCUUUUUGGCACAGGUGCCGUGUAAACCAGGCUGGCCUCCAGUGAUCGAUGCAGCUGAACUUGGCCCCGUGCUCUUGUGCCUCCUGCCUCUACCUCCCAAGAAAGAACAUGGACAUUUCUGACGCGGCGCCAAUGUCUCACAAUGUCUCAGCAAGCCUCCGUCUCGUCUCAACAACACUGGCUCCUGACAUAUCUCCCAAGCUUCCUCAAAGUGAGACAACUGAGUAGAACUGCCUGGGAAGCCCCCUGACUGUGGGAUCUUAGGGUCUAAUCACCACCCCUCCCCCAGGCCCAGGAUUUACACUGACCAAACACACAGGAGGUAGCCUCAAUCACAGCUCUGCCACAUCUUUGCGCAUGCGUCCCAGGCAGGAAGGGGUGUUUUCAGGAGCCCUGCCCACAACGGAGCUUCAAGGCCUCUGAUGAACACUGGGGAUGGAGGAUGCAGCACCGUGGGACUCACUUGCUAUCAUCAUGACAACAGGCAGGAUGGUCGCCUUCUGAUGGAGCUCAGGGACUUUUGAGAUGGUUACUGCAUGCCAAUCUCUAUAAACGACACACAUGCACUGAGAAGAAUAACUCCUUUUAGUCCGCACAUGGAUUUUUUUCAAAAUAUAAGACUGCUCCCUCCUCUUCCAUUUCAAGAUGGGUGUGUUUCCCCAGACUUGGAGAAGGAGAAGAGCUGCCCCCAUCCUUUAUCUGGCGAGGAGACCCAGGCGGCUGAGAUCCAAACCAUGUGCAGGGUGACAACAGUUAAGUCUGCACGGGGCCGCGUGGCUGCUCAGAGCCGAGAGUAGAAAGUGUAGUUCCAGGGUCUAAUCCGACCGAUCCGCUGUGUUCUUUGCAAAAGGUUGCGAGGCCUUGGCCUAAUAAGCAUAAUCUCAUUACACUGCAAAUAAAAGUUUCCUAUUUAUCUCCAGAUUUCA